rfam:Nippostrongylus brasiliensis genome assembly, scaffold: NBR_scaffold0002056
ACAUCGACAGCACAGCGGUCAUUGCAGUCUGCCAAAAACAGAAAGACGCGGGUUCAAUUCCCGUCCGAUGUC